rnacentral:sRNA from 1 species
GGUAAACGGAUAAAACAAGAAAAAGUACAAAUUUCAAGAGGCAAGUUUUGAAACAAAAAACUCUAGCAGAUAAGUGCCAUCAGAAACCAGAGAAACCGCGUGAGAGUGUUGAGGGAUUUUGGAAAUUAG